UACAGGGGGGGGCAAGCGUUGUUCGGAAUUACUGGGCGUAAAGGGCUCGUAGGCGGCCAACUAAGUCGGAUGUGAAAUCCCCAGGCUUAACCUGGGAACUGCAUCCGAUACUGGAUGGCUUGAAUCCGGGAGAGGGAUGCAGAAUUCCAGGUGUAGCGGUGAAAUGCGUAGAUAUCUGGAGGAAUACCGGUGGCGAAGGCGGCAUCCUGGACCGGCAUUGACGCUGAUGAGCGAAAGCUAGGGGAGCAAACGGG
rnacentral:rRNA from 1 species